GUGGGGAAUCUUGCGCAAUGGGCGAAAGCCUGACGCAGCCAUGCCGCGUGAAUGAUGAAGGUCUUAGGAUUGUAAAAUUCUUUCACCGGGGACGAUAAUGACGGUACCCGGAGAAGAAGCCCCGGCUAACUUCGUGCCAGCAGCCGCGGUAAUACGAAGGGGGCUAGCGUUGCUCGGAAUUACUGGGCGUAAAGGGAGCGUAGGCGGACUGUUAAGUUAGAGGUGAAAGCCCAGGGCUCAACCUUGGAAUUGCCUUUGAUACUGGCAGUCUUGAGUACGGAAGAGGUAUGUGGAACUCCGAGUGUAGAGGUGAAAUUCGUAGAUAUUCGGAAGAACACCAGUGGCGAAGGCGACAUACUGGUCCGUUACUGACGCUGAGGCUCGAAAGCGUGGGGAGCAAACAGGAUUAGAAACCCUUGUAGUCC
rnacentral:rRNA from 1 species